rnacentral:rRNA from 1 species
GAUCUCUUUGAGGCCCGUUAUCGGAAUGAGAACAAUUUAAAUCCUUUAACGAGGAUCUAGCGGAGGGCAAGUCUGGUGCCAGCAGCCGCGGUAAUUCCAGCUCCGCAGGUGUAUAUCUAUGCUGCUGCGGUUAAAAAGCUCGUAGUUGGAUCUGCGUGCUCGGAACCGGUUGGCUCACUGAGUUCAAACUGGUCUCCGGCGCUUUAUUGGCUGGUUUUCCCUUGAUGCUCUUAACCGGGUGUCUUGGGUGGCUAGCACGUUUACUUUGAAAAAAUUAGAGUGCUCAAUACAGGCGCAAAGCCUUGAAUAGUGGUGCAUGGAAUAAUAGAAUAGGACCUCGGCUCUAUUUUGUUGGUUUUCGGAACGCGAGGUAAUGAUUAAGAGGGACAGACGGGGGCAUUCGUAUUGCGACGUUAGAGGUGAAAUUCUUGGAUUGUCGCAAGACGGACGACUGCGAAAGCAUUUGCCAAGAAUGUUUUCAUUAAUCAAGAACGAAAGUUAGAGGUUCGAAGGCGAUCAGAUACCGCCCUAGUUCUAACCGUAAACGAUGCCAACUAGCGAUCCGCAGGCGUUAAACAACGACCUUGCGGGCAGCUUCCCGGAAACGAAAGUGUUCGGGUUCCGGGGGAAGUAUGGUUGCAAAGCUGAAACUUAAAGGAAUUGACGGAAGGGCACCACCAGGAGUGGAGCCUGCGGCUUAAUUUGACCCAACACGGGAAAACUCACCCGGCCCGGACACCGUAAGGAUUGACAGAUUGAGAGCUCUUUCUUGAUUCGGUGGGUGGUGGUGCAUGGCCGUUCUUAGUUGGUGGAGCGAUUUGUCUGGUUUAUUCCGAUAACGAACGAGACUCUGGCCUACUAAAUAGUGGGCGGAUUCUUUCUGUCCGCAACACUUCUUAGAGGGACAAGCGGUGUUCAGCCGCACGAGAUUGAGCAAUAACAGGUCUGUGAUGCCCUUAGAUGUCCGGGGCUGCACGCGCGCUACACUGAAGGAAUCAGCGUGCUUUCUGACCUUGCCCGAAAGGGCUGGGUAACCCGAUGAAAAUCCUUCGUGAUUGGGAUAGGGACUUGCAAUUAUUUCCCUUGAACGAGGAAUUCCCAGUAAGUGUGGGUCAUAAGCUCGCGUUGAUUACGUCCCUGCCCUUUGUACACACCGCCCGUCGCUGCCCGGGACUGAGCCGUUUCGAGAAGAACAGGGACCGUCGUUGAAGGGCCCUAACGGGCUUUUCUCUGAUAGAAACUGUUUU